GCCCUCGAUAGCUCAGAUGGACAGAGCAUCGGCCAUAUAAGCAGGAGGUCUCGGGUUCGAGUCCCGGUCGGGGCA